rnacentral:rRNA from 1 species
GUGAGGAAUUUUCCGCAAUGGGCGAAAGCCUGACGGAGCAAUGCCGCGUGAAGGAUGAAGGCCUAUGGGUUGUAAACUUCUUUUCUCAGAAAAGAAUUAUGACGGUAUCCGAGGAAUAAGCAUCGGCUAACUCUGUGCCAGCAGCCGCGGUAAGACAGAGGAUGCAAGCGUUAUCCGGUAUGAUUUGGCGUAAAGCGUCUGUAGGUUGUUUAAAACGUAUUCUGUCAAAGAUUAGGGCUUAACCCUAGAUAGGCAGAAUAAACUUUUAAGCUAGAGUUUGGUAGAGGCAGAGGGAAUUCCCGGUGGAGCGGUGAAAUGCGUAGGUAUCGGGAGGAGCACCAAAGGCGAAGGCACUGUGCUGGGCCAAUACGAACACUGAGAGACGAAAGCGAGGGGAGCAAAUGGGAUUAGAUACCCGUGUAGUCC